AUACGUAGGGUGCAAGCGUUAAUCGGAAUUACUGGGCGUAAAGCGUGCGCAGGCGGUUCGGAAAGAAGGAUGUGAAAUCCCAGGGCUCAACCUUGGAACUGCAUUCUUAACUACCGAACUAGAGUAUGUCAGAGGGGGGUAGAAUUCCGCGUUAAGAAGUGAAAUGCGUAGAUAUGCGGAGGAAUACCGAUGGCGAAGGCAGCCCCCUGGGAUAAUACUGACGCUCAUGCACGAAAGCGUGGGUAGCAAACAGGAUUAGAUACCCUGGUAGUCCACGCCCUAAACGAUGUCAACUAGCUGUUGGGCCCUUCGGGGCUUAGUAGCGUAGCUAACGCGUGAAGUUGACCGCCUGGGGAGUACGGUCGCAAGAUUAAAACUCAAAGGAAUUGACGGGG
rnacentral:rRNA from 1 species